GGGCCGGUAGCUCAGCCUGGAAGAGCGCUGCGUUGGCAUCGCAGAGACCCCCUUUAAAGGGGCUGAAAGUCCAGGGUUCAAAUCCCUGCCGGUCCACCA
rnacentral:tRNA from 1 species